rnacentral:rRNA from 1 species
UACGGAGGGUGCGAGCGUUGUCCGGAAUCAUUGGGCGUAAAGGGCGCGUAGGUGGCCCGGUCAGUCUUUGGUGAAAGCGCGGGGCUCAACCCUGCGUCGGCCAGGGAUACUGCCGCGGCUCGAGCACUGUAGAGGCAGGCGGAAUUCCGGGUGUAGCGGUGGAAUGCGUAGAGAUCCGGAAGAACACCGGUGGCGAAGGCGGCCUGCUGGGCAGUUUAGCUGACACUGAGGCGCGACAGCGUGGGGAGCAACAGGG